rnacentral:rRNA from 1 species
CACGUAGGGUGCGAGCGUUGUCCGGAAUUAUUGGGCGUAAAGAGCUCGUAGGCGGUGUGUCGCGUCGGCCGUGAAAACUUGGGGCUUAACUCUGAGCGUGCGGUCGAUACGGGCAUCACUUGAGUUCGGCAGGGGAGACUGGAAUUCCUGGUGUAGCGGUGAAAUGCGCAGAUAUCAAGAGGAACACCUGCGGCGAAGGCGGGUUGCUGGGCCGACACUGACGCUGAGGCGCGAAAGCUAGGGGAGCGAACGGG